rnacentral:rRNA from 1 species
GUGGGGUGCGAGCGUUGUUCGGAAUCACUGGGCGUAAAGGGCGCGUAGGUGGUUUGAUAAGGGUGUGGUGAAAGUCCGGGGCUCAACCCCGGAUCUGCCGUGCCGACUGUCAAACUCGAGGACUGUAGAGGCAGACGGAAUUCCGGGUGUAGCGGUGGAAUGCGUAGAGAUCCGGAGGAAGACCGGUGGCGAAGGCGGUCUGCUGGGCAGUUUCUGACACUGAGGCGCGACAGCGUGGGGAGCAAACAGGAUUAGAUACCCUGGUAGUCCACGCCGUAAACGAUGGGUACUAGGUGCCUGGGGGAGCGACCCUCUGGGUGCCGGCGCUAACGCAGGAAGUACCCCGCCUGGGGAGUACGACCGCAAGGUUG